rnacentral:rRNA from 1 species
UGUGAACGUUACCAAACUGUUGCCUCGGCGGGAUCUCUGCCCCGGGUGCGUCGCAGCCCCGGACCAAGGCGCCCGCCGGAGGACCAACCAAAACUCUUAUUGUAUACCCCCUCGCGGGUUUUUUUUUAUAAUCUGAGCCUUCUCGGCGCCUCUCGUAGGCGUUUCGAAAAUGAAUCAAAACUUUCAACAACGGAUCUCUUGGUUCUGGCAUCGAUGAAGAACGCAGCGAAAUGCGAUAAGUAAUGUGAAUUGCAGAAUUCAGUGAAUCAUCGAAUCUUUGAACGCACAUUGCGCCCGCCAGUAUUCUGGCGGGCAUGCCUGUCCGAGCGUCAUUUCAACCCUCGAACCCCUCCGGGGGGUCGGCGUUGGGGAUCGGCCCUGCCUUGGCGGUGGCCGUCUCCGAAAUACAGUGGCGGUCUCGCCGCAGCCUCUCCUGCGCAGUAGUUUGCACACUCGCAUCGGGAGCGCGGCGCGUCCACAGCCGUUAAACACCCAACUUCUGAAAUGUUGACCUCGGAUCAGGUAGGAAUACCCGCUGAACUUAAGCAUAUCA